rnacentral:rRNA from 1 species
CAUGCAAGUCGAACGGAAUAAUGACUUCGGUUGUUAUUUAGUGGCGGAAGGGUUAGUAAUACAUAGAUAAUCUGUCCUCAACUUGGGAAUAACGGUUGGAAACGACCGCUAAUACCGAAUGUAGUAUGUUUAGGCAUCUAAAACAUAUUAAAGAAGGGGAUCUUCGGACCUUUCGGUUAAGGGAGAGUCUAUGGGAUAUCAGCUUGUUGGUGGGGUAAUGGCCUACCAAGGCUUUGACGUCUAGGCGGAUUGAGAGAUUGACCGCCAACACUGGGACUGAGACACUGCCCAGACUUCUACGGAAGGCUGCAGUCGAGAAUCUUUCGCAAUGGACGAAAGUCUGACGAAGCGACGCCGCGUGUGUGAUGAAGGCUCUAGGGUUGUAAAGCACUUUCGCUUGGGAAUAAGAGAGAUUGGCUAAUAUCCAAUCGAUUUGAGCGUACCAGGUAAAGAAGCACCGGCUAACUCCGUGCCAGCAGCUGCGGUAAUACGGAGGGUGCUAGCGUUAAUCGGAUUUAUUGGGCGUAAAGGGCGUGUAGGCGGAAAGGAAAGUUAGAUGUUAAAUCUUGGGGCUCAACCCCAAGCCAGCAUCUAAUACUAUCUUUCUAGAGGGUAGAUGGAGAAAAGGGAAUUCCACGUGUAGCGGUGAAAUGCGUAGAUAUGUGGAAGAACACCAGUGGCGAAGGCGCUUUUCUAAUUUACACCUGACGCUAAGGCGCGAAAGCAAGGGGAGCAAACAGGAUU